rnacentral:rRNA from 1 species
AAUUGACGGGGCCCGCACAAGCAGCGGAGCAUGUGGUUUAAUUCGAAGCAACGCGAAGAACCUUACCUAGACUUGACAUCUCCUGAAUUACCCGUAACUGGGGAAGCUCUUCGGAGCAGGAAGACAGGUGGUGCAUGGUUGUCGUCAGCUCGUGUCGUGAGAUGUUGGGUUAAGUCCCGCAACGAGCGCAACCCUUAUCGUUAGUUGCUACCAUUAAGUUGAGCACUCUAGCGAGACUGCCCGGGUUAACCGGGAGGAAGGUGGGGAUGACGUCAAAUCAUCAUGCCCCUUAUGUCUAGGGCUACACACGUGCUACAAUGGUGAGGACAAAGAGACGCAAGACCGCGAGGUGGAGCAAAUCUCACAAACCUCAUCCCAGUUCGGAUUGCAGGCUGAAACUCGCCUGCAUGAAGCCGGAGUUGCUAGUAAUCGCGAAUCAGCAUGUCGCGGUGAAUACGUUCCCGGGCCUU